rnacentral:lncRNA from 1 species
UCUGUUAUUUUAGUUAAAAGCCUGUGGGUCUAAUCCUGUAUACAGCAGCAUGUUGAUAUUUUCCAGUAUGGCAAUGUGAGUGACUGGGGGAGAGAACAACGUGCAAUCCUGGCUGUUCAUUCCUGGCUGGAGGUGCAGCUGAUGCCUGUGACAGGUUGUGUGGGCAUCUGCAUUGAAGCAUUCUGGAUUUCAUUGGGCAUGGUGCCUGAUAGUGAUUACAAAAUCUGCUGCUGAAGCAACUCCUAAAGGAGGUGGCAGACCUAUGGUUGUGGAUCCUUUGCACAUAUAAAUGUUA